UGAAGCCCGAUGACUUGGGGUCCCUGAGGCUGAACGUAGUUUACACAGAAGACCACGUCUUCUCCUCUGAGUACUAUAGCCCCCUGCGUGACCUGCUAUUGAAGUCUGCGGAUGUGGAGCCUGUCUCAGCCUCAGCAGCUCACAUUCUGGGCGAGGUCUGCAGAGAAAAGCAGGAGGCAGCCAUCCCACUGGUGCGACUCCUGCUGCACUAUGGCAGGGUAGUGCCCUUCAUCAGCGCCAUCGCCAGUGCAGAGGUGAAGAGGACCCAGUAAGUGCCCCUUCCUGCCCCCACCCCUUCAUGCCCAGCCUUCACACCUAGCCCCCUCCUUAUCUCCGUGUUCUUUCCCUAUACUGCACCCCCAUAUGAAGACCCUCCCCGCUUCCCUUGUACUUCCACUUGACCCCUGCUGCUCUCUGCACCCCUCCAUCCCCU
rnacentral:lncRNA from 1 species